CUGCUUUGUUCUGGUGCAGUGUCCCAGCGUGAAGCUGGCUCUCGGCGCUACUUGAGUACAGCUGCCGUUUGCCAUUGAUGAUCGUUCCCGUUAACUCCUUGGAGGUAGCAGGGGGGAGGCACACAGUCUGAGUGG
rnacentral:snoRNA from 1 species